rnacentral:rRNA from 1 species
GGGUUGUGAGGUUAAGCGACUAAGCGUACACGGUGGAUGCCCUGGCAGUCAGAGGCGAUGAAGGACGUGCUAAUCUGCGAAAAGCGUCGGUAAGGUGAUAUGAACCGUUACAGCCGGCGAUGUCCGAAUGGGGAAACCCAGUGCAAUUCGUUGCACUAUCGUUAACUGAAUACAUAGGUUAACGAGGCGAACCGGGGGAACUGAAACAUCUAAGUACCCCGAGGAAAAGAAAUCAACCGAGAUUCCCCCAGUAGCGGCGAGCGAACGGGGAGCAGCCCAGAGUCUGAAUCAGCUUGUGUGUUAGUGGAACGGUCUGGAAAGUCCGACGGUACAGGGUGAUAGUCCCGUACACCAAAAUGCACAGGUUGUGAACUCGAAGAGUAGGGCGGGACACGUGGUAUCCUGUCUGAAUAUGGGGGGACCAUCCUCCAAGGCUAAAUACUCCUGACUGACCGAUAGUGAACCAGUACCGUGAGGGAAAGGCGAAAAGAACCCCGGCGAGGGGUGAAAAGAACCUGAAACCGUGUACGUACAAGCAGUGGGAGCACCUUCGGGUGUGACUGCGUACCUUUUGUAUAAUGGGUCAGCGACUUAUAUUCUGUAGCAAGGUUAACCGUAUAGGGGAGCCGCAGGGAAACCGAGUCUUAACUGGGCGUUAAGUUGCAGGGUAUAGACCCGAAACCCGGUGAUCUAGCCAUGGGCAGGUUGAAGGUUGGGUAACACUAACUGGAGGACCGAACCGACUAAUGUUGAAAAAUUAGCGGAUGACUUGUGGCUGGGGGUGAAAGGCCAAUCAAACCGGGAGAUAGCUGGUUCUCCCGAAAGCUAUUUAGGUAGCGCCUCGUGAACUCAUCUUCGGGGGUAGAGCACUGUUUCGGCUAGGGGGUCAUCCCGACUUACCAACCCGAUGCAAACUACGAAUACCGAAGAAUGUUAUCACGGGAGACACACGGCGGGUGCUAACGUCCGUCGUGAAGAGGGAAACAACCCAGACCGCCAGCUAAGGUCCCAAAGUCAUGGUUAAGUGGGAAACGAUGUGGGAAGGCACAGACAGCCAGGAUGUUGGCUUAGAAGCAGCCAUCAUUUAAAGAAAGCGUAAUAGCUCACUGGUCGAGUCGGCCUGCGCGGAAGAUGUAACGGGGCUAAACCAUGCACCGAAGCUGCGGCAGCGACACUAUGUGUUGUUGGGUAGGGGAGCGUUCUGUAAGCCUGCGAAGGUGUGCUGUGAGGCAUGCUGGAGGUAUCAGAAGUGCGAAUGCUGACAUAAGUAACGAUAAAGCGGGUGAAAAGCCCGCUCGCCGGAAGACCAAGGGUUCCUGUCCAACGUUAAUCGGGGCAGGGUGAGUCGACCCCUAAGGCGAGGCCGAAAGGCGUAGUCGAUGGGAAACAGGUUAAUAUUCCUGUACUUGGUGUUACUGCGAAGGGGACGGAGAAGGCUAUGUUAGCCGGGCGACGGUUGUCCCGGUUUAAGCAUGUAGGCUGAUUGUCCAGGCAAAUCCGGAUAAUCAAGGCUGAGGUGUGAUGACGAGGCACUACGGUGCUGAAGUAACAAAUGCCCUGCUUCCAGGAAAAGCCUCUAAGCAUCAGGUAACAUUAAAUCGUACCCCAAACCGACACAGGUGGUCAGGUAGAGAAUACCAAGGCGCUUGAGAGAACUCGGGUGAAGGAACUAGGCAAAAUGGUGCCGUAACUUCGGGAGAAGGCACGCUGGUGUGUAGGUGAAGUCCCUGCGGAUGGAGCUGAGACCAGUCGAAGAUACCAGCUGGCUGCAACUGUUUAUUAAAAACACAGCACUGUGCAAACACGAAAGUGGACGUAUACGGUGUGACGCCUGCCCGGUGCCGGAAGGUUAAUUGAUGGGGUUAUCCGUAAGGAGAAGCUCUUGAUCGAAGCCCCGGUAAACGGCGGCCGUAACUAUAACGGUCCUAAGGUAGCGAAAUUCCUUGUCGGGUAAGUUCCGACCUGCACGAAUGGCGUAAUGAUGGCGGGCUCCACCCGAGACUCAGUGAAAUUGAACUCGCUGUGAAGAUGCAGUGUACCCGCGGCAAGACGGAAAGACCCCGUGAACCUUUACUAUAGCUUGACACUGAACAUUGAGCCUUGAUGUGUAGGAUAGGUGGGAGGCUUUGAAGCGUGGACGCCAGUCUGCGUGGAGCCAACCUUGAAAUACCACCCUUUAAUGUUUGAUGUUCUAACGUUGGCCCCUGACCGGGGUUGCGGACAGUGUCUGGUGGGUAGUUUGACUGGGGCGGUCUCCUCCCAAAGCGUAACGGAGGAGCACGAAGGUUAGCUAAUCCUGGUCGGACAUCAGGAGGUUAGUGCAAUGGCAUAAGCUAGCUUGACUGCGAGCGUGACGGCGCGAGCAGGUGCGAAAGCAGGUCAUAGUGAUCCGGUGGUUCUGAAUGGAAGGGCCAUCGCUCAACGGAUAAAAGGUACUCCGGGGAUAACAGGCUGAUACCGCCCAAGAGUUCAUAUCGACGGCGGUGUUUGGCACCUCGAUGUCGGCUCAUCACAUCCUGGGGCUGAAGUAGGUCCCAAGGGUAUGGCUGUUCGCCAUUUAAAGUGGUACGCGAGCUGGGUUUAGAACGUCGUGAGACAGUUCGGUCCCUAUCUGCCGUGGGCGCUGGAGAAUUGAGGGGGGCUGCUCCUAGUACGAGAGGACCGGAGUGGACGCAUCACUGGUGUUCGGGUUGUCAUGCCAAUGGCACUGCCCGGUAGCUAAAUGCGGAAGAGAUAAGUGCUGAAAGCAUCUAAGCACGAAACUUGCCCCGAGAUGAGUUCUCCCUGAGACUUUAAGUCUCCUGAAGGAACGUUGAAGACGACGACGUUGAUAGGCCGGGUGUGUAAGCGCAGCGAUGCGUUGAGCUAACCGGUACUAAUGAACCGUGAGGCUUAACCUUACAACGCCGAAG